CAAAGCAAAAAUCUUUAAAAAAUCAAUAAGGCAAAAAAAUACUAAACCAAACAAAAAGCAUGGAAAGUCUGUUUUGUGUUCACCAACUAUUCCGAGGUAUGAGGCCUGCCCUGGAGUGUGACACUCCAUUGGAGAAAACUAGUAUGUUUCCCAGAAGCUAUCAAUUGCAAAUAGCUUCUUGGUAAGGGGUGGGAACUCUGUUCACUUCCUCCUCUCGGUGCUGGGACCCUGUCCGGGCAUGAGCUUAUGCAGGUCUCGUGCACGCUGCCAGACUCCGUGAGUCCACACGUGCGUGCGUCCUGCUGUGCCUGGAAGACGCCGUUUCCACCUCUCGCUCUUAUGGUCUCUUCUCCUGGUGUGACAGCUGUGUGAUCUAGGGACUUUUGAUAGGCAUGGUGGAAAUAAGAGUUAAAACAGUGCCUACAAAGAAGGUUGACCCCUCGCCUCCCAAGCAUUCCCUUUACUUCUCCUCCUUAGCCUUCGGAGGGUUUGCACCUUUUGGUCCUGUGUCCUUUCUGCUUCCGGGAGGCCACAUCUCCAAACACUAAUUUCUGAGGGUAUUAGCGUGUGUUCUGUGGUCCACCAGCACCCACAGCGGCAGGAGCCUGCUAACUACCCAAGUCCAGCACUUCCUCUGAUGUACCAUCUGGUUUCAGAUCCCUGGGUGGAGGAAUGCAAGGAAUCUGCAUUUGCUAACAUACAUACCUCCUUGAUUUUUUUAUUUUUAUUUUUAUUGCAACAUCUUUGCUGGUGGAGCUGAGCUCCGAGCCUCUCCCCUCUGCUGUCCCCUAAAUGGGGACUAUUAUUUUCAGAAUUCUGAGGCAAUGCGUCCGAAUUCCUUUGGUCUGAGCGGUGUGUCUUUAUAAGGCUAGAGCUCUGCCAAAAGAUAACCGCAGGUGGACUCUGGGGGCGCGUGCUGUUUCCAAAGAUAGCAGCGCCUAACCCUGCUUGCUGAUGACUCCGAGGGUCUGAAUGUGCUCGCGGCUGCAUGGCCUUAUAUAGAGAGGGGCCAGGCCCUCAGCAGCCGACGCCAUGUGUUCCGUGGCUAUCUUUGGAGAGUGACAGGUGCUCGUGACAAGUGAAGUUGGACAGCUGAGCUGUGACCCUCGAGAAAGAAGCCGUGGACCGUGGCUGCACAAAUCACGAUACACAGGAUUAGGAUGAAGUAGGCCAAUUUUAUUGGGGAGAAAUCACUUACAUGAGAAACCGAUAACACAGGAUCCGCACUCCAAGCAUCCGAGCUCAGCUGCCCUCCGAGAAUUGACUGACCGGAACCCAGAGAGAGCAAACCUAAAUCCCACACGCUCAGGUACUCACCUGUGACCACACCCAAAGGGGCGUGGUCCGUGCCACAGGUACCUAGUAAGGGCCCGAGAGAACAUAAGGUGUGUUUAGCAGGGUUCUGUCAACCACGCAGCUGUUGUUAAGAAAGCGGCCACACAAACUGUAACUCAUUCACUCCUACUCUUGGCUUAUUGCUCUCAUUUCCAAAAGCAUCCCUUGAGAAGCAACACUAUUAAUAAUAUGGCACUAGUAAUACCAUAUUGCUAAUAAUUGGUUGGGCAUCAAGUGAAAUCAAAAUGAAACCAAAACCUCAGAUUUGGGCAAAGUGGAAGCCCUACACGGUCUCUCUGCGAAUUUCAAAGUACACUCAGUCACCGCUUGGUAGCUGUGAGUUCCACAGCCUUGGAUUCAACUAUGCUCAAAUCAAAGAUAUUUCUGUGUGUUUUUUUUUUUUUUUUUUAGUUUGUCUGUGGUGCCCACUGAGGCCAUAACAGGUCAUUGGAACCUCUGGGACCGGAGCCACAGUUAGUUGUGAGCCGCCACGUGGCUGCUGGGAGUCAAACCUGCAUCCUUCGCUCUUAACUGCUGAGCCGUCUCUCCAGUUCCAACAUUUGCGGGCUCGGGGUGUAACUCUGUGGCGGAUAGCUGACACUGCAUGCAUAAGCCAUUGGGGUUUGCUUCCUGGAGUUGCUAGCACCCCAACCAAUAGAAGUUGGAUUUGUA